GAUGAACGCUGGCGGCGUGCCUAAUACAUGCAAGUCGAGCGAACAGAUAAGGAGCUUGCUCCUUUGACGUUAGCGGCGGACGGGUGAGUAACACGUGGGUAACCUACCUAUAAGACUGGGAUAACUUCGGGAAACCGGAGCUAAUACCGGAUAACAUUUGGAACCGCAUGGUUCUAAGUGAAAGAUGGUUUUGCUAUCACUUAUAGAUGGACCCGCGCCGUAUUAGCUAGUUGGUAAGGUAACGGCUUACCAAGGCAACGAUACGUAGCCGACCUGAGAGGGUGAUCGGCCACACUGGAACUGAGACACGGUCCAGACUCCUACGGGAGGCAGCAGUAGGGAAUCUUCCGCAAUGGGCGAAAGCCUGACGGAGCAACGCCGCGUGAGUGAUGAAGGGUUUCGGCUCGUAAAACUCUGUUAUUAGGGAAGAACAAAUGUGUAAGUAACUGUGCACGUCUUGACGGUACCUAAUCAGAAAGCCACGGCUAACUACGUG
rnacentral:rRNA from 1 species